AAGGGAGACCUAAUUCCGGUAGGAGACGAAAAAAAAGUAGUCCCAACCAAGAAUCAAUCCCAAAAGGUCGGAACGAGGUAUGAGGCUUUCAAACUAGGUUCUGGGUUCAUAAAAGACCUGAAUCAGGAACAAGGGCUAUUAGCUCAGGUGGUUAGAGCGCACCCCUGAUAAGGGUGAGGUCCCUGGUUCGAGUCCAGGAUGGCCCACCUGCACAGGUGGCAAAAACAAGAGAAGCUCCGAAUCAGCACCUUAUCUUAUAUACAUAUAUAAGAGAGAAUGCUGGCACUGAGUACAGAGUCCAGAGGAACCUUGAAAACUGCAUAGAGCUAGGUGAAAAAGCCAAAAAAGAAGACCGCAA
rnacentral:tRNA from 1 species